GCAACGCCGCGUGAGUGAAGAAGGGUUUCGGCUCGUAAAGCUCUGUUGUUAAAGAAGAACGUGGGUAAGAGUAACUGUUUACCCAGUGACGGUAUUUAACCAGAAAGCCACGGCUAACUACGUGCCAGCAGCCGCGGUAAUACGUAGGUGGCAAGCGUUAUCCGGAUUUAUUGGGCGUAAAGCGAGCGCAGGCGGUCUUUUAAGUCUAAUGUGAAAGCCUUCGGCUCAACCGAAGAAGUGCAUUGGAAACUGGGAGACUUGAGUGCAGAAGAGGACAGUGGAACUCCAUGUGUAGCGGUGAAAUGCGUAGAUAUAUGGAAGAACACCAGUGGCGAAGGCGGCUGUCUGGUCUGCAACUGACGCUGAGGCUCGAAAGCAUGGGUAGCGAACAGGAUUAGAUACCCUGGUAGUCCAUGCCGUAAACGAUGAUUACUAAGUGUUGGAGGGUUUCCGCCCUUCAGUGCUGCAGCUAACGCAUUAAGUAAUCCGCCUGGGGAGUACGACCGCAAGGUUGAAACUCAAAAGAAUUGACGGGGGCCCGCACAAGCGGUGGAGCAUGUGGUUUAAUUCGAAGCUACGCGAAGAACCUUACCAGGUCUUGACAUCUUCUGACAGUCUAAGAGAUUAGAGGUUCCCUUCGGGGACAGAAUGACAGGUGGUGCAUGGUUGUCGUCAGCUCGUGUCGUGAGAUGUUGGGUUAAGUCCCGCAACGAGCGCAACCCUUAUUACUAGUUGCCAGCAUUAAGUUGGGCACUCUAGUGAGACUGCCGGUGACAAACCGGAGGAAGGUGGGGACGACGUCAAAUCAUCAUGCCCCUUAUGACCUGGGCUACACACGUGCUACAAUGGAUGGUACAACGAGUCGCGAGACCGCGAGGUUAAGCUAAUCUCUUAAAACCAUUCUCAGUUCGGACUGUAGGCUGCAACUCGCCUACACGAAGUCGGAAUCGCUAGUAAUCGCGGAUCAGCA
rnacentral:rRNA from 1 species